AGAGCGAACGCUGGCGGCAGGCCUAAUACAUGCAAGUCGAACGCACCUUCGGGUGAGUGGCGGACGGGUGAGUAACACGUGGGAACGUGCCUUUUGGUUCGGAAUAAUCCGGGGAAACCUGGCCUAAUACCGGAUGUGCCCUUCGGGGGAAAGAUUUAUCGCCAUUAGAGCGGCCCGCGUCUGAUUAGCUAGUUGGUGAGGUAACGGCCCACCAAGGCGACGAUCAGUAGCUGGUCUGAGAGGAUGAUCAGCCACACUGGGACUGAGACACGGCCCAGACUCCUACGGGAGGCAGCAGUAGGGAAUCUUGCGCAAUGGGCAAAGCCUGACGCAGCCAUGCCGCGUGAAUGAUGAAGGUCUUAGGAUUGUAAAAUUCUUCAGCGGGAAGAUAAUGACUGUACCCGCAGAAGAAGCUCCGGCUAACUUCGCGCCAGCAGCCGC
rnacentral:rRNA from 1 species